rnacentral:rRNA from 1 species
CACAUUGGGACUGAGACACGGCCCAAACUCCUACGGGAGGCAGCAGUAGGGAAUCUUCCACAAUGGACGCAAGUCUGAUGGAGCAACGCCGCGUGAGUGAAGAAGGCUUUCGGGUCGUAAAACUCUGUUGUUGGAGAAGAAUGGUCGGCAGAGUAACUGUUGUCGGCGUGACGGUAUCCAACCAGAAAGCCACGGCUAACUACGUGCCAGCAGCCGCGGUAAUACGUAGGUGGCAAGCGUUAUCCGGAUUUAUUGGGCGUAAAGCGAGCGCAGGCGGUUUUUUAAGUCUGAUGUGAAAGCCCUCGGCUUAACCGAGGAAGCGCAUCGGAAACUGGGAAACUUGAGUGCAGAAGAGGACAGUGGAACUCCAUGUGUAGCGGUGAAAUGCGUAGAUAUAUGGAAGAACACCAGUGGCGAAGGCGGCUGUCUGGUCUGUAACUGACGCUGAGGCUCGAAAGCAUGGGUAGCGAACAGGAUUAGAUACCCUGGUAGUCCAUGCCGUAAACGAUGAAUGCUAGGUGUUGGAGGGUUUCCGCCCUUCAGUGCCGCAGCUAACGCAUUAAGCAUUCCGCCUGGGGAGUACGACCGCAAGGUUGAAACUCAAAGGAAUUGACGGGGGCCCGCACAAGCGGUGGAGCAUGUGGUUUAAUUCGAAGCAACGCGAAGAACCUUACCAGGUCUUGACAUCUUUUG